rnacentral:rRNA from 1 species
UACAGAGGUCUCAAGCGUUGUUCGGAUUCAUUGGGCGUAAAGGGUGCGUAGGUGGCGCUGUAAGUCAGGUGUGAAAUUUCGGAGCUUAACUCCGAAACUGCAUUUGAUACUGCGGUGCUCGAGGACUGGAGAGGAGACUGGAAUUUACGGUGUAGCAGUGAAAUGCGUAGAGAUCGUAAGGAAGGCCAGUGGCGAAGGCGAGUUCCUGGACAGUUACUGACGCUGAGGCACGAAGUCCAGGGGAGCAAACGGG